rnacentral:rRNA from 1 species
GUCUAUGACCAUGCCACCCUGAACAAGCCCAAUCUAAUCUAUCUCAGAAGCUAAGCAGGGUCGGGCCUGGUUAGUAACUGGAAUGGAAAAACCACCUAAGGAAGAACCGGGUGGCUGUAGGCA